rnacentral:lncRNA from 1 species
GGCGGAUUCCUCACCUCGACCGGAACGUCACGGUGGUCUCCUUCUCGGUCGGGACGCAGAGAGCACGGAAAAAGAUGGCGGCGGCUCGAGCUUCUCGGUGCGGCAAUGGCGGCGGCUCGAGCUUCUCGGUGCGGCAAUGGCGGCGGCUCCUCCUAGGGUUCAAAAGGGGGAUGGAGGCGCUGGGUAAGGCCUUUAUAGGCCGGGGAACCUCGUGGGACGCGCGCGAGCGCGAGGAUCGGGCGGCGGUUGCGUCCGGCUCCGAUCCGGCCGGAGGUAGGGGAUGACCACGGGCGCUGACGCGUGGGGCCGGAGCGUCAGCGGCUCAGGCGCGGGCUGGCAGGCGGGGCCCGCGUGGCAGCGGCUCGGGGUGGCGGUGUGGGCUGGCUCCAGCGCAUGGGGGGUUGGGCCGGCUGCUGUGCUGGGCCGCGUCCCAAGAGGGCGAGCAUGGGGGUGAAAGCGGAGGGUGCUGGGCCGAGAGCCGGCCCAGGUGAGGGCUCUCCCUUUUUUUCUUUUUCUUUUUUUUUUCUUUUUUUCUUUUUUUUUGUAAAACAGAAAUUCUCAACUAUUUUAUCAACCAAAUUCCAAACUAUUUGCAAACCAGAAUUCAAAAAUAAAUUUGAAUCAAUACUUAGGAAUUAUUUUGGAAUUUUCUUUGUAGACUAUUUUGAAAUCUAAAUAUAUUUUAGUUUAAACACAUUUCUAAAUUGUUUUCCAACUCGAAUUUGAAUUAGUUUUAAAUAGGACUUUUGGAGUUUUAUUUUUUCGAAAACCAACACAACCUAAACGCGGCUCUCUAGAAAUUUUGAAAAUUUACUUUUCUCAGUCAAACAAAACUAGAGCACAAAGCACACAUCAAAACCAAACACCCUUCACCUAUCACUUAUUUUUAUAAAAGUUUUAAAAUUUCACAUUUUCCUCAUUUCAUAAAAACAAUAAUUAAUAAAAUCUUGGAAUAUUUUAGAAAAAAAAUUUAAACCCUUAUUUAAUUUAGUAUUUUCUAAUAACAAUCCAAAAUUAGAAAUUUUGGAGUGUUAUAGAUCUACCCCACUUAACAUAAAUCUCGUCCCGAGAUUUGAAGAAACUAAAGAGAAAGAUAAAGUAGAUCAUCAAAAUUGUUUCGAGACUUUCAAGACAUGAUCAAAGAAUUAAAUAUAGACAUAAAGGGUAUAGAGUAUGCUACAGAUUUGAAGACAAAGAAAGAUAAACAUAUGAGAUAGAAAUUGAUCUUUGGAUUCUUGUAUUACGAUAAAGUGCAAGGGCAAAAAGCCAAGGUUAACAGGAGAUAACACAUAGGAGAUAGAUAUAAUAGUGCUCACAAUUUCCUUGAUUCCGGGUAUGUAUAAGAUAGUAGACGAAAGGAUAAAGAAUUAGCAGAAGUCGACAAAGACUUAGAUUUUUUUUUUAAGUCUUCACGCUUAAUCAUCUGUAGUCCAAUGAGGCGUAGGAUCAAAGAUCGCGGGUUGACAAAAAAAUGAUAAGGGUUUGUCGCAAGAUUGAUAAGGAUCAAUAUACAGUUCUCCAUGUGUUCUGAUUAGAGAUUUUCGAGAGUGACGAUUGUAGCGGACGCUACCCCACUUAAACCAAGUGUUAGC